CAAUAGCAUAUAUUAAUGUUGUUGCAGUUAAAAAGCUCGUAGUUGGAUUUCUGCUGGAGUGCCGAUGUCCGCCCGUGUGCGUGUGCAGCGGCGCCCCUGCAUCCUUCGGUUACCUCCGCUCGGCAUUCACUUGCCGGCGGUUGGCUCCGAAUAUUUACCUUGAGAAAAUUAGAGUGUUUCAGGCAGGCUAAGCCGGAAUACAUUAGCAUGGAAUAAUAGAAUAGGACUACGGUCUCGUUGUUGGUUUGAGGGACUGGAGUAAUGAUUAAUAGGGAUAGUUGGGGGCAUUAGUAUUUAAUUGUCAGAGGUGAAAUUCUCAGAUUAACUAAAGACUAACUUAUGCGAAANCANNNGCCAAGGAUGUUUUCAUNAA
rnacentral:rRNA from 1 species